ACAUUAUCAUGAACAACUCUUUUAAAUAACUCUUCUUAUUAGACUCCGAGGUCUUCUCUUUCAUUUUAUGAUAGUACUCCUUGGAUACACCUCUUGCCUUGUACUUUGAAUUAUGUUUAUCCAUAUUUCCUUUUACUUCAUCAAGAACAACAUUCUUUAAAGUUUGUCCAUAUUUCCUUUUGCCUCAUCAAGAACAACAUUCAAUCUUAUAUGUUAACAAACUACUUCAUCAAUGACACAAGGCAUCUCUCCUACCACCCCGUUGUGUUUUUCCUCUUUGAUUGGUUUCUGUAAAUUAACAGUCAAACAAAGUAUAUUUAAUCAAAAUUUUACAUAUUGAGGAACUAUUAUAUGCAU
rnacentral:lncRNA from 1 species